AUGAUUGAUCGAAUCGGGGCGGAUCCAAUUCAUUGGCAAAAGAAAAAUCUAUCGUUUUAACACUCAGAAAAAAAAACCUAGAAAAGAGGAAGAGUCACUAAGACAAGAGAGCUAUAGGUAAGCAAGCAAGAAGGAUAGGUGCAAAAAGGCGAGGCAAGGGGCUCUCCAUCUCUAGGAAGAUUGUGUCCAGGAUCUGGUAAUCUAAGCCUUGCUUCUUCUGGUCGGCUCGUAUUAGCCUGUGCUUUAUUACAGGUAGUCAUUCCCCCGUUCCGAAUCGGGGCGGAUCCAAUUCAUUGGCAAAAGAAAAAUCUAUCGUUUUAACACUCAGAAAAAAAAAACCUAGAAAAGAGGAAGAGU
rnacentral:lncRNA from 1 species